GAUGAACGCUGGCGGCGUGCCUAAUACAUGCAAGUCGAGCGAACGGACGAGAAGCUUGCUUCUCUGAUGUUAGCGGCGGACGGGUGAGUAACACGUGGAUAACCUACCUAUAAGACUGGGAUAACUUCGGGAAACCGUAGCUAAUACCGGAUAAUAUUUUGAACCGCAUGGUUCAAAAGUGAAAGACGGUCUUGCUGUCACUUAUAGAUGGAUCCGCGCUGCAUUAGCUAGUUGGUAAGGUAACGGCUUACCAAGGCAACGAUGCAUAGCCGACCUGAGAGGCGGAGCGGCACACGGGGAACUGCAACCCGCUCCGGACACCAACGGAAGGCAGCGGUGGGGAGUUUGCAGCAAGGGGCAAAGGCCUACAGAAGAAACUCGGCGGGGGUAAUAAAGUCCUUCGGUUCGUAAAACCCUGUUAUAGGGAAAAAACAAAUGGGUAAAUAACAGUACCGGUCUGGCGGGAACCUAAGAAGAAGGCCACGCCAACCAACGG
rnacentral:rRNA from 1 species